GCGAACGGGUGAGUAACACGUGGGUAACCCCCUUCUAAGCAGGGGAUAACAUUUGGAAACAAGUGCUAAUACCGUAUAAUACCAACAACCGCAUGGUUGUUGGUUGAAAGAUGGUUCUGCUAUCACUAAGAGAUGGACCCGCGGUGCAUUAGCUAGUUGGUAAGGUAACGGCUUACCAAGGCAAUGAUGCAUAGCCGAGUUGAGAGACUGAUCGGCCACAAUGGGACUGAGACACGGCCCAUACUCCUACGGGAGGCAGCAGUAGGGAAUCUUCCACAAUGGGCGCAAGCCUGAUGGAGCAACGCCGCGUGUGUGAUGAAGGGUUUCGGCUCGUAAAACACUGUUAUAAGAGAAGAACGGCACUGAGAGUAACUGUUCAGUGUGUGACGGUAUCUUACCAGAAAGGAACGGCUAAAUACGUGCCAGCAGCCGCGGUAAUACGUAUGUUCCAAGCGUUAUCCGGAUUUAUUGGGCGUAAAGCGAGCGCAGACGGUUAUUUAAGUCUGAAGUGAAAGCCCUCAGCUCAACUGAGGAAUGGCUUUGGAAACUGGAUGACUUGAGUGCAGUAGAGGAAAGUGGAACUCCAUGUGUAGCGGUGAAAUGCGUAGAUAUAUGGAAGAACACCAGUGGCGAAGGCGGCUUUCUGGACUGUAACUGACGUUGAGGCUCGAAAGUGUGGGUAGCAAACAGGAUUAGAUACCCUGGUA
rnacentral:rRNA from 1 species